GAAAUAUAAAAAAUUAAGCUGCUAACUUAUUUUAUAGUGGUUAAACUCCAUUAAUAUUUCU
rnacentral:tRNA from 1 species